UUGUAAAGUUGCUUGGAUUAGAGAUUUCUUUUGAAGCUAUCCAGAAGUAAUCCCCUCCUUAAUUAAACUUACAGCCUGUAUCAUAUCUUUAAUACAUCUGUAAAUAAAUAACAAAUAAUAAUUAUCAGUAAGAGGAAUAGAGUGUCAAUUCUAAAGAGGGUCAUGAGUUUCUUUCAAAUUUUAGUGAAACGUUCAAGAGUACAAUUUACACGUAAAGUAAUUGUAAAAUGGUAUCUGUGUUUUCUGUUCCCAUUAUAUGUAUGUAUCUCAGUAGGUACAGGCAAAGUAAAAUCUUUAUUAUUUUUUUUUAAUUCCAAGGUAGGUAACACAUAAAUAAGAAGAGGAAGUUGGAGACACUGAAUAUAUCAGGAGGUAUAUCUGAUACUAUAUAGAAAAACCCCAGAUAUCCAUUAGACAAAAUGAGCUGUAACUCAAAUAGCAUACUUUAUGGGCUAAUCAGUGGGAGCAAACUAAAUUGGAGGUUUUGCCUUAGAAAUGCCAUUUCCCAAUAGAUGAAUGUUUUCAUAAGGGAAUCAUCACCAUGGAUAUUAAUUAGCAAUAUCAUCCCAGCUUCUUCUGAGAUGCAGGUGAAUGAAUUAUCAUCCCACAGGGAUAGUCACUGAAGGUCUAGACACAUUAAUGAAAAAAUGUGUAAUGGUUUGCUGUGAUAUUACAUACAUUGUAUUUUUUUGGUCAGUAGACUUCAGUUUCUGUGGUGUCUAGGCCCUUCCUAGACACUGAAUCCAUGAAGCAUUAUUUUAUUAUGAUAUAUCAUUUUGUAAUUAUUAAUUAUUUUACAUUUCAAAAAUAAUUACUCAGUUCAUAAGGAACCAUUAAAAAAUCUAUGGCCUCUUGCUUAUAUUAUUAGAGCAGCUGUGGUUUGUUGUCUAAAUAUCUGACAAUAUAUCUGCUAUAUUGUGCAAGUAUAGUCUUCUGUUAAAUAUUAUAACUGACAAAGGUCUCUGUCUGCUUUUAAUGUUAAGAAAAACAUAUCUUGUAUAUACGGCAAGGAACUCUAGAGAGGAAAGUGUUCUCCAUCUCCUUUAUUUCUUCAUGCUCUCAAGCAUCAUUUUCUCAAGGAUUUAGAAUGUUGCUAUGAACCUGAAUUACUGAGAACACAAACACCAGGAGAGGCCAAUGAAAUUAUUUUACCAUGUUAGAAUUUUUAUUUUUUUUUUAAAGAACAAAACUGCAUUAAAGGAUCAUAAGUGUUCUAGUGUCUUCUCCCAUGGAUACUGAAGCUGCAGAUGACCACAGCUGAGUGGAGCUGAGUACGCCCUGGUGUCACUCUUUCUAUUUCAUAGUUUAAUAAAAAUUAAUUGCUAACUGGUGCUUAUGUGGGUUUUGGCUAACAAACUGCAGAAACAUUUCAGCUAUCACUACAAAUUGAUAAAAUUAGGAAUGACAUUUAUUAAGUGGGUUAGGAGGUGGCCUGUUCUCAGUAAUGAUUUGGGAAACAAUAAAAGGAAUAGCUACCCAGCUAUUGGAUGAAAGAGGCAACAUGCUCUUCAUUUCUGUAUGUUCUCUAUUGCAGGUUAAAAUCUUAUUGGCGACAUUUCCAAGCAUGGAAGGAAGGACAUCAAUGAUAUGAAUGAUAUAAGCCCAGAUUUUUUCUUUGAUGGCUGCCAUCUUUGGCACAACCCUGGGAACUGAAUUGUGUCCCAGCACUGAAAAACCCAGUGCCAGAUAUGCUCUACUCCUCCUGCUUGGGAAGAAGGCUGAGCAGAACUGGAAGAUGACUGCUGCAUGGUCCCACUUUCUUUCUCUGUCCUCAGGAGCCUGUGCCCGCUGCCAGUGAUCAAGGUACCUGGUCACAGGGGCAAUGUGAAAGAAGUAAGGGAGGAAAUUCAGGAGGAGAAAAAGGAAGAAAUUCAGGAGAAACGGGAAAAUGGAAAAGGAAACGAUCUAACAAACCUUUUCAUAGGAAGCUGAGCAACUAUCUAUCAGAAAAAUAAAAUUAGAAAAAUGCAUCCAAAGAACCAGGAAAUGUAGAAAAUGGAUACCUACAAAAGCCACAUUUGUGAUAUGACUACAGGUAAUUAUCUAUUACAGCAUUUACAAGACAAGAAUUAAAAGCAAGGAAAUUAAUACUGAAAGACUGUGCAAGCCUCACAGUAAAACUUGUAGGCCAAUAUACACAACAAUCAUAAAAGCAUUGCCAUGUCAAGUAACAAAUUCCCUUUUUCUCACCACAUAGCAAAAUCUCUGACUCGAGCUGUCCCCCAAAACAGUCUGACUUGCUCUUUGCUUGU